rnacentral:lncRNA from 1 species
CGUUGGGCCCUCUUCCACCUAGUGCAUGUCUCAUUUUUGACGAAAACCUUCAUUGGCUAAUAGGUGAGCAACUCGAUUCCCUCAUCUUUUUAUACGUUGAAAUUUAAACUUCCAAAAACCCAUAAGUAAUUGCUUGGCUUCCCAUAUAUAUAUGCUAACUUUCGAUAUGUCCAAAUGUUGCAUCUUUAUCUUCGAAAUGACCACCAUUGAAUCCCCCUUAAAGGCGAUCAGUGAAAACCCAUAUCCUGGGCAAAAUGAACAGCUUGAACUGCAUCCAGCGCCUCCACCACUUCAGUUGACUAAAUAUUUCUAUUCCAACUACAAUAUGCCCCCAUUAACAGACCAUUUUCAUCUCGAUACUGGAUUCUUACAGGUCACUGCAAAACCCUCCGUCAAAGUUGGCCUUCACCCAUUAGGUCUCUAGAAGGGUCCAUCGCAUAAGUUGGUAUUGGCUAGCCUUUGGGUAAGUCUUUUCUAUCAUUUCCAGUUCUUUAACAUACCCUAAAACAAACGAACUGAGCUCAUUAACUGUUUGCCUUGUUCCUUCAUGCAUCAGUUUGUUCCUUGACAACCAGAGAGCCUAUAUUGUUGGUAAAUACGUGAAUUUGAGUCACUUACUUUUACUAAUUUAUUGCACAUAAAUUAUUGAAUUCUAGAUUUUUGUUUAUUUUAUGAAUAUAAAUUGUUAAAUAACUGAUUUUAAAGGCAACAAUUUAAUAAUAAUAUUUAAUUAGGCUAAACUUUUUAAUUUUCAUACAUUCAAAAAUAAUUUUUUAAUUUUCAUGAAGUAUAAAACAAAAUUCAAAUAAAUUAAAGUAAAAGUAGUGGGUUUUUUUUAAUUUUUAUAAAGUGGAGGGAUCAGGAUUAAUUUUAUAAUUAUAAAAUAUAUAUUUAAAACUUUUAAUAGAUAAACAUUACCUGAAAUAGUUGUAAAAAUAAUAGUGUAUAUAUUAUUUUAUAAUAGAGAUUUCAAGUUUCAAGGCAGUACAUGAUGAUUUGGACAGAUUUAAAGAUGCUUUUCAGGAUAUUUUGAUUGUAUGAUUCCAAGUUCAACAUCCUUCCAAUUUUUGUUCAUGUUUGCACAUGUUGACCACACUUUUAUUUUAUAUCACAUGAUUUUUACACAAAUAAUAUAAAAAAUAAAUAAUUACAAAAAUGAGACAAGUAAAAAAUUAAUUACAAAAAUAAAUAAAAUAAACAGUUUUUGCAAGUACUGUCUGACAUAUCGGCAACACCACUCCACUUUCUUCCCAAUUAUACUAUCAUCAUUAGUUAUAUUUUUUGAUAUCAUCACUAUGUUAGGAGGUAUUAGUAUAUAUUUUUUUUAAUAUCUAAGAAAAUACAUCUGGCGAUGAUAAAAAAAUUGAUUGAAAAUGAAAAAAUAGACGUAAAAAAAAGAAGAGUAAGAACUCCAAAUCUACUUGCACGAUUGUUUCCUUCAUCUUUUAUAAGAAAAGAAAAAAAAAAACUAAAAGCUUUGAGUCUUCACUUUUUAUUGUCUUCCCUAUUUUGUUUCUCUUCUUUAAUUUUCAAAUGUUGAGAAAAUUAAAUAUCCUCAAUUGUUGAAAAAGAUAAAAUGUUAUUAAAGAUAAAAGUAUAAAAUAGUACAAUUAGACAUAGACUUUUAAAACUUUUAAAUUAGAAGUUAUUUCUUUUUUUUUAAUUAAAAAAUUAAAAGUAAUUUCGAUUUCCUAAAAGAUGAGGAGUCAAUUAAUUUUAAAUUCUCUUGAGAAUAAAUGAUUUAAUUGGCAUCAUCAUGAGGUAUCACUAUUGAUUUACUAAGCAUGUUAUUAAAAAAAAAAGUAAAAGUAAAAAUGAAAAUGAAAAUAAUUAUAUAUAUAUGUAUAGGAUAAAAUUUUGUUGAUUGAUCCUGUGUAGACUUCAUGUUUAAUUCAAUUAAAUUCUCAAUAUUUAAUUUAGAAAAAAAAGUGUUUCAAAUAUAUCCAUUUAUAAAAUAAUAUUAGAUAAGAAUAUAGAUUUAAGAUAGAUUUUGAAAUUUGAAUUUUUUUAUUAUUUAAUUAAUUAUUAAUAAAAAAAUUAAUUAAUUUUUAAAAUAAUAAUAAAAUUUAAUUUAAGGUUUUAUGAAAAAUAAUUUCAUUCUUUCUUUUAAUAAAAUCAUUUCAGUCGAAGGAAAAAAACAAACAUUUUCACACAGUCUAUGAUUUAAUUGUCUCACAGAUUAAAAGUUAUUAUUUUGAGACUAUUAACCAUUCUUGGUUUGCAACAAAUUAAAAAUUGUUUAGCUUGAUUUUGAUGUGUUGACAGGAGCAUGGGACCAAAUUAAAAAAAAAAAAACUCAACCUUUUUUAAAUAAUAUAUUUAGUCAAUUAAUAAAUGAUAUCUUAUAAUGAUGUCAGUUGAACUGUUUAUUCUCGAGUCAACUUCAAAUUAUUUGACUCCUCGUCUCUUAAGGAAUCGAAAUUACUUUUAACUUAUUUAUAAAAAAAAAACCUUUUAAAACUUUAAUCUAAUUGUACUAUUCUACUUUUUUUAUCAACCUUUCUUUUUUGUAUCUUUGAAAACAUUUCAUCUUUCUCAACAUUUGAGAAUAUUUAGUUUUCUCAACAUUUGAAAAUUAGAGAAGAAAAGCAAAGCAAGGACGACAACAAAAAGUGAAGUCGCAAAACUCAAUAGUCUUUUCUUUUCUUUUCUUAUAAAAGAUGAACGAAACAGUUUUACAAGUGCAUCUGAAGUUUUUACUCUUCUUUUUCUAAGGCUAUUUUUUUUAACUUUAGCUUCUUUUUCAUUUCCAAUCAAUUUUUUUAUUUUAUUUUAUUUUCUCUCGUUCCGCCUAAUAGACCAAUGACACCAUUAAAAAAACUAUUUUUUGUUCCUUAGUAUACUCGUAUGUUCUCGAAUAUUUUGGAAAAUAUAUAUAUCGGUGCCACCUACCUGAUAUAGUGGCGACACUAAUUUUUUUUUAAACUAAUUACGGCCACAUGAUUAGGGGGAAAGCAAGAUAUUGUCGUUGGUGUGUCAAGUGGCACCGACAGGAAUUGUUCAGUUUACUUAUUUUUUGUAAUUAUUUUUUAUAUAUUAUUUGCGUAAAAAAGCCAAUAUUCUUUAUUUUAUAUCAUGUUAUUCUUUUUUUUAGUGCUAAAAAAUAUGUUAUUAUUUUUAUAUAAGUUUUUUUUUAAUAUAACAAAUAAUUUUUAAUUUUCAAGAGUUGCGUAACAAGAGUUGAUUUUUAAAAGUGUUUGAUUGCUAGAUGAUCUAUAACACUCUAUACUUGUAUUGACGAAGACUAUGGAUAAUCGUUGUUACAAUUGAUGUUCAGAUACAUCUACUAACUUACAAAUCACCAUUUUGGUCUUUAUUAAAUUCAAUUUUGAUGAUUAAGACUCAAGUAUAAACAUUAAAACAUCUUUCAAACUUAUUAGGUCAAUAAAAAUCUCGUUUUUAACAAAUUGGGUUGCAAGUGUCGAUACCUUGCAAUAGGGUAUCAAUACUCUAUCCCUUUAAAAACCUCAUUUAGACACUGUUUGAGUAAGUAUUUGUAACAUCCUCUAACCCUUAUCCGUCCACGGAACAUGAUUACGAGGCAUUACUAGUCAAUUCAGUUCAAUUACUUUAAAUCACGUUCAAACCUACUCAAAACAUGUCAAAUUAAACAUUUUACGUGCUUAUAUGAUGAAUAUUUUUAAGUAUUUCACAUACAUUAUCAAAUAGUUCAAAUUCUUACCAAAUAAGCCAGUUCUUACCAUAUACUAUUACUACAUCUAAAUUUACUUAUUUCAUCCUUACAUUGACAAUCCAAAAUGACACACAUAGACAUUUUAGGUACAUAGACAUUUUAGGUACAUGCCAUUACCAAUAAUUAAUAUACCUCAUCACAUUGAAUUCGGGAUCGGCCUAGGAUGCUGAUUCAACGGUCUGACUUUAACCUAUCCUGCGCACGGAAUCAAAUCGUAUGCUGAGUAUGGAUUCAGUGGUAUUUCUAUAACCCAAACACUUAAUAAUAUGAAAAUAUAACAUUUACUUAAAAAUCAUAUAACAAUCACAAUAAUAUAAUUGUUCAAUUCAUAGAUAAAUUCUUUAUAACUCAAUCAAUUCUUUCAUCUACUAACUCGUAUAAUUUUCCACAAUAUGUUCACAAUUCACUUGAACAAUAAUAUUAUUCACUUAUUUCCCAUUUAAAGUUACAUAAUUCAUGUGUUUCAAUUAUGUUUCAGUUCACUAUUCAAUAUCAAUAAAUAAUAUUCAACAAUUUACAUUUCAAUCAGUAAUUUCGUUUUGUUCCAAGCUCAAUAUCAGUCAAUAUUUUUCAAUAUCAAUCAGUUUAUCAAUAUCAUUCAGUAAUAAUCAUUUUCUCAGUAGCAAUCAGUUAUUCAGUAACAAUCAAUUAUUCAAUAACAGUUAGUCGUUCAGUACUUUUAUUCACCCUUAUUAACAUGACUCAGACAUUGACGGAUACACGGAUCCAACCAACACACCAGUACGGCACUCAGUGCCUCAUCGGCUUUGCGAAGUAAAUAGUAACAGUACGGUACUCAGUACCUCAUCGGAUUAAACUGAUGUAACAGUAGCAGUACAACACACAAGGUGCCUCAUCGACUUGAAGUCGAAGUAACAGUACGACACUUAUAAUGCCUCAUCGACUCAAGGUCGAAGUAUCCCUAAACACUUCCAAUCCUAUGGCAUGCCAAUUAUAUCUGACUAGCUCGAUACUGUUAAUAGGGUAUUCAAUUCACUUUUAAUUUUAUCAAUCAAUUUACAUUUUAAUUAAUCACAUAAAUUCAUAAUUCAAUACAAUUCAAUUUACUUUUCAGUAACAAAUAUUCCAAUUCCACAUUAAUCACAUAUUCAUAUUUUAUUUAAUCACAUUUCCAAUCAAUUUAAUUUUUAAUAUAACAUAUAUUCAAUAUUCAAUUUCCACAUCAAUCAUAUAUAUCCAUAUAAAUUCAAUAAAUUUAUCACAUAACAAAUCAAUCCAUUUCAAUUGUAAAACACAAUACAAAUAAUUCUCACCUAAAUUACUUACCAUAAUAUUUAAUCAAAAUACAACAAUUAAUAAUUAAAUUCACUUUUCAAUUUCAACCAAUAUUCACUCCAAUUCAAAUAAUCAUCUCGAUGCACUUACCAUAAAUAUUAAAUAAUAAUUUCAAAAAUUAAAUAUUAAGUUCAGAUUAUAGAAAUACAAACCUUAAUUUUCGAACUAACCCUCGUUGACUUUGUCUUUUCCUUUCUUAGCUGAGGUUUUCUGGCACAACAUUAACUACGAAAAUUAAAACAAUUUUCAUAAUCAUAAUACAAUACUAAUUUACAUUUAAUAUUUAAAUUUCUUAUUUAAUUUCUAUUCAAUUUCUACUUUAACUUCAAUUUUGUUCUUAACUAAUUUCACUUAUUUUUCUAUCUCAAUUCAUACUUUGUUUCUACUCAAUUUUCAACCAAACUUAGACAUAACUAUCUAAAUUUCAUCCUAAAACCAUAAUCUCAAGUUUCUUUCAAUUUAGUUCCUCUAACAUAAAACUUAUAGCUUCUUUUACAAUUUAAUCCCUUAAUCAAUUCUAACUUAAAAUAUUCAUUCAAUUAAACCCUUAAUUCAUCAUUUUAUUCAACAUGAACCAUAUUGAUAAACCUAUGAACUUCCAAAACCUCAACUUAAUUUCAACAAAACUUUAUUCUAAAACUUCUAAAUUAAAAAAAAACUUAAUUGACUUACCUAUUUAAAUUCCAAGCUUUAAAAUCACUAUUUCUCCCUUUUCUUUCUUUCCCUUUUUCCUUUCUUUCUUUCUCCCCAGUUUUUCGUUUUUAUUCUCUGUUUCUUUUUGUUUUGUUUUGUUUCAUUUCUUUUAUAUUUAUUUAUAUAAUAAUAAUAAUAAUAAUAAAUUUCUUUUUAUUAACAAAUAUUUAUAUUACAUUUGUCACCUUUUAAUUAGUUUGUCAUAUAAAAAUCUUAUAUAAAAAUUAUUAAUAUCUUUUAAUUAAUAACAAUAAAUAAAUAAUAAAUAUCUAUUUUAAUAAACAAUACAUGUAUUACAAUUAUAUUAUACAUAUUAUUACACAUUUAUUUUAUCUCCACCCUACAUUUAUCAUAAUUCAUUUUGUUUGAUAAUAAUAAUAAUAAUAAUUUAAUAAAUAUCUAUUUAAUACACAAAUACAUAUUGUACAGGCCCAAUUAUGCCCGGCCCAAACUAAAAGACCAAACCCAAUUAAAUACAAACCCCAAAGCCCAA